AAGCCAGGUAAACGGUUCGCUGCUGCAGGUAGUAGGCCCGUGGUUCCCUCGGCUAUCCUCCAACGUCAGCGCCAAACUACACACACCUCCUCAUCCCUUCUCGAACCCUAGGGCAAACCCGGCGCCUGGCGGCUCCUCCCAAAGCUCCAGUCUCCGGUCUCUUGCGGGAGUUUCUUUCUCGUUGUCUAGCAAGCAUCUCCCUCUGGUGGAUUCCCUGACGUUUCAACUAGGCUUUUGCAUGCUUUUCGUUCUGAAACGGCCCCAGAAGUCGAAUAGAGGGACCCUUCCUACCUUUUCUCGAGGAACACGAUGAAGAAUUUGUGACAAAGGUGGAAGAGCCGAGCGUCUUCCUGGGGGCUCGAGAAGCAACCACUGCAAAGAGAGGCUCCCGGGACGUAGUCUGCUUUGGUCCGCACCAUGUUCACACAGGAAGAGACAACUCGCACCGACUCCCCAGCUGCAGAUGUCUUAACUGGACAAAAACCCGAAAAUGACGUUCCCGCCACAGUUUAAAUGGGUUUCUUUCCCGCGCGCUCCAAGCUCUUGAGAAUCGUGGCUCUUAUUGGUUCCGCGCCUUCACCCCGAACCAAUUGGCAGCGUCCAGCGGAUGACAGCCUUGAGACCAGGCUUUGCUGGCCAGUCCAUCAGCACCAGUGGUCGUGAUUCGUACCCACUCCUGGUGGGUGGUGCCAGGAUGUUCCAGGGGUGUGCCAAGUGUGGGCACUGAGCUCUUCUGUAGAUGCACAUAUUGUCUUUGCACAAUUGCCAAAGUCCUUUCUGGAGUUCGACCUCUAUGUUGAAGAUUUACUCAAACACGGAGCCCCCACACACGUGUAUAU